ACUCCUACGGGAGGCAGCAGUGGGGAAUCUUGGACAAUGGGGGCAACCCUGAUCCAGCCAUGCCGCGUGAGUGAUGAAGGCCUUAGGGUCGUAAAGCUCUUUCGCCUGUGAAGAUAAUGACGGUAGCAGGUAAAGAAACCCCGCGUAAUCCGUGCCAGCAGCCGCGGUAAUACGGAGGGGUUAGCGUUGUUCGGAAUUACUGGGCGUAAAGCGUGCGCAGGCGGUCUGUUAAGCGAGAUGUGAAAGCCCC
rnacentral:rRNA from 1 species